rfam:Bacillus sp. CHD6a contig52, whole genome shotgun sequence.
AUACAUUUAUAGUUCAAAUCUCGUAUAAAUUUGGGAAUAUGGCCCAAAAGUUUCUACCAGGCUACCGUAAACAGCUUGACUACGAGGUAAUAGGAACUAGGU